rnacentral:lncRNA from 1 species
AACCAUGAUUAGAGCCUCCUAAUUUUGGGUUCUACAGUAGCACAUAUGAAGGAAAAUUAGGUAUCCUCCAUAUAUUUUAUAUGAGCCCGGCUAAGAUUUUUAUCAACUUUUGUCCUUUGAGAAGUUAUAUUUCCAAAAAAAGAAAGAAAAUCACAAUUCGUUCACUUGUGACAUUUGGUACCCUACCAAAUUGUCUUUGUUAGAUGACAUAAUUAUUCAUAUUGCGUCCUUUUGUCUCUCCUAAAUCUGUUAUUUAUUCAAAAUUGAAGCUAAUGAAGUAGGUUUGGGAUGACUAAUGCACGCAUAGACAAAAUUAUACAAUCUAGAAUCGUGAGGAGUUUUACAAUGUUCCUUUUUCCCCAUGGUAUCUCUAUCGAAGUUUUAUAUAUUAUGAUAAGAGCAAUAGAUAUCCUGGUUGUCAAUUUUGUGCGUGUUAUCCAUAUUUGUAGGCAGGGGGAUGAAGGGAAAAAAAGGAGCGUGAUUAAUAUAGAAACUUCGAGUAAGAAAAUAAGAGUAGUAGGAAUAAUGCAUCAGAACAUUUGAAACUGAAUUCUUACUUAUUCUCUAGGGCUGUGGGCCAGGAUUAACUUCAUCAUGCAUUUAUUCUAUCAUGAAAGUAUAACAAUACUUCGUCUUUUUCGUUCUGUUAGAUGGAAAUAUUAUUCAAAAUGAAUGAUAUACAGAGAUAAUAUGUUCUGAAGUUGUCUAGUCUAUGAGAAAAUAAUGCAUGCAACUAAUACAGCCAGCCAGUGAAUAGAUUUUGAGUUACACAUUAAUCUCUGCAGAAACCAACAAGGGAGAUGGAUUGAUCAGAAUCAAAAUUUUCAAGAUAUUGCUAUUUGAUACGAUGAAAACAUGACAGUGACUUUUCUGUCGCUUGAAUUAUACACUGAUUAGAGAUGGAGUCAUGAUGAUGCAAUCUCUGGUAAACAUAAGGUGACAUACUUGUUUGAGCUACUUGUGGAAGUAUUUAAACAUGUGAAAGACAAGGAUAUAAAUUAAUCACCAAACUUGCAAUGGCUUCAAAUAAUCUGUAUUACUUUUUCAAGGGUGGUGGUGGUUUUAUCUUUUCCUGACUGAGACGAUACUAUAUUCUUUCAUUUACUCUGUGUGAUUUUGAUACGUGCAAUUAUGAUUCAUUCAGCACUCUUAGGAUAGGAAGAGCAAAAGCUUGUUAUUUGAGUGCAUAUCUAUGAAAUGUAAAAUGGUUUAUUUAUUAAUACUUAUCAGUACUGAAGUUAUACACAGUAAUUACGUGAGUUGGGGAUAUUAACUAUGUGUUGAUUUUAUAUUUGCAUUUUGUGCUGCCUUGUUUUCUAGAUAGACAAUCCUAUCGUGUUUCUGCACGCCAGAAAAUAGAAAGCUGAAAAGAUGUGUUACAUACACGCCGAUUGUUUAAAGAAAUCAUCAUAUACCAUACAUUCUAAAGGUUUGCAGCAUUAGAUUGUUGGAACUCUCUUUAGUGCAAAUUGCUCUUUGUUUUUGUUCUCUGAUGGAAAUAAUCAUUUUAAAGAAAAAAUUCCAAUAACUUUGUGUCUCUUGNNN